AAAAAGCGGAGGAAAAGAAACCAACAGGGAUUGCCUCAGUAGCGGCGAGUGAAGCGGCAAGAGCUCAGAUUUGAAAUCGUGUUUCGGCACGAGUUGUAAAUUGCAGGUUGGAGUCUUUGUGGAUGUGCGUGUCCAAGUCCCUUGGAACAGGGCGCCACUGAGGGUGAGAGCCCCGUGGGAUGCGCAUUGAAGCUCUAAGGCCCUUCUGACGAGUCGAGUUGUUUGGGAAUGCAGCUCUAAGCGGGUGGUAAAUUCCAUCUAAGGCUAAAUAUUGGCGAGAGACCGAUAGCGAACAAGUACUGUGAAGGAAAGAUGAAAAGCACUUUGAAAAGAGAGUGAAACAGCACGUGAAAUUGUUGAAAGGGAAGGGUAUUGGGUCCGACAUGGGGACUGCGCAUCGUUGCUUCUUGUAGGCGGCGCUCUGUGCUCUCUCUGGGCCAGCAUCGGUUUUUGCCGCAGGAUAAGGGGCGUUGGAACGUGGCUCCUCGGAGUGUUAUAGCCAACGCCAGAUGCUGCGUGCGGGGCCCGAUGGGCUGCGACAUUGUGUCAU
rnacentral:rRNA from 1 species